CUUCAACGGAGAGUUUGAUCCUGGCUCAGGACGAACGCUGGCGGCGUGCUUAACACAUGCAAGUCGAGCGGUAAGGCCUUUCGGGGUACACGAGCGGCGAACGGGUGAGUAACACGUGGGUGAUCUGCCCUGCACUUCGGGAUAAGCCUGGGAAACUGGGUCUAAUACCGGAUAUGACCUCCUAUCGCAUGGUGGGUGGUGGA
rnacentral:rRNA from 1 species